rnacentral:rRNA from 1 species
GACGAACGCUGGCGGCGUGCUUAACACAUGCAAGUCGAACGGAAAGGCCUCAGCUUGCUGGGGUACUCGAGUGGCGAACGGGUGAGUAACACGUGGGUGAUCUGCCUUGCACUCUGGGAUAAGCUUGGGAAACUGGGUCUAAUACCGGAUAUGAACUGCAUUACUGGUGGGGGUUGGAAGGUUUUUUCGGUGCAGGUUGAGUUGGCGGCCAUUAGGUUUGUUGGUGGGGUCUUGGCCUACCAAGGCGUGGACGGGAAGCCGGCCUGGGAGGGUGUACGGCCACAUUGGGCCUGAGAUACGGCCCAGACUCCUACGGGGGGCAGCAGUGGGGAAUAUUGCACAAUGGGCGGAAGCCUGAUGCAGCGACGCCGCGUGGGGGAUGACGGCCUUCGGGUUGUAAACUCCUUUCGACAGGGACUAAGCUUGUUGUGACGGUACCUGUAUAAGAAGCACCGGCUAACUACGUG